AUACGGAGGGUGCAAGCGUUGUUCGGAAUUACUGGGCGUAAAGGGCGCGUAGGCGGCAUAGUAAGCUAGCUGUGAAAUCCCCAGGCUUAACCUGGGAAUUGCGGCCAGAACUGCUAAGCUAGAGAAUGUCAGAGGCAGAUGGAAUUUCUGGUGUAGAGGUGAAAUUCGUAGAUAUCAGAAGGAACACUUGUGGCGAAGGCGGUCUGCUGGGGCACUUCUGACGCUGAGGCGCGAAAGCGCGGGUAGCAAACAGGAUUAGAAACCCCAGUAGUCC
rnacentral:rRNA from 1 species